AGAGUUUGAUCCUGGCUCAGGAUGGACGCUGGCGGCGUGCUUAACACAUGCAAGUCGAACGAACCUUCGGGUUAGUGGCGGACGGGUGAGUAACGCGUGAGAAUCUGCCCUCAGGAGGGGGACAACAGUUGGAAACGACUGCUAAUACCCCAUAUGCCGCGAGGUGAAAUGAAUUUCGCCUGAGGAUGAGCUCGCGUCUGAUUAGCUAGUUGGUGUAGGUAAUGGCUCACCAAGGCAUCGAUCAGUAGCUGGUCUGAGAGGAUGAUCAGCCACACUGGGACUGAGACACGGCCCAGACUCCUACGGGAGGCAGCAGUGGGGAAUUUUCCGCAAUGGGCGAAAGCCUGACGGAGCAACGCCGCGUGAGGGAUGAAGGCCUCUGGGCUGUAAACCUCUUUUAUCAAGGAAGAAGAUCUGACGGUACUUGAUGAAUAAGCCACGGCUAAUUCCGUGCCAGCAGCCGCGGUAAUACGGGAGUGGCAAGCGUUAUCCGGAAUUAUUGGGCGUAAAGCGUCCGCAGGCGGCCCUUCAAGUCUGCUGUUAAAAAGUGGAGCUUAACUCCAUCAUGGCAGUGGAAACUGUUGGGCUUGAGUGUGGUAGGGGCAGAGGGAAUUCCCGGUGUAGCGGUGAAAUGCGUAGAUAUCGGGAAGAACACCAGUGGCGAAGGCGCUCUGCUGGGCCAUCACUGACGCUCAUGGACGAAAGCCAGGGGAGCGAAAGGGAUUAGAUACCCCUGUAGUCCUGGCCGUAAACGAUGAACACUAGGUGUCGGGGGAAUCGACCCCCUCGGUGUCGUAGCCAACGCGUUAAGUGUUCCGCCUGGGGAGUACGCACGCAAGUGUGAAACUCAAAGGAAUUGACGGAGGCCCGCACAAGCGGUGGAGUAUGUGGUUUAAUUCGAUGCAACGCGAAGAACCUUACCAGGGUUUGACAUCCUGCGAAUCUCUUGGAAACGAGAGAGUGCCUUCGGGAACGCAGUGACAGGUGGUGCAUGGCUGUCGUCAGCUCGUGUCGUGAGAUGUUGGGUUAAGUCCCGCAACGAGCGCAACCCACGUCUUUAGUUGCCAGCAUUUAGUUGGGCACUCUAGAGAGACCGCCGGUGAUAAACCGGAGGAAGGUGUGGAUGACGUCAAGUCAUCAUGCCCCUUACAUCCUGGGCUACACACGUACUACAAUGCUACGGACAAAGGGCAGCAAGUUCGCGAGGACAAGCAAAUCCCAUACACCGUGGCUCAGUUCAGAUCGUAGGCUGCAACUCGCCUACGUGAAGGAGGAAUCGCUAGUAAUCGCAGGUCAGCAUACUGCGGUGAAUACGUUCCCGGGCCUUGUACACACCGCCCGUCACACCAUGGAAGUUGGCCACGCCCGAAGCCGUUACUCCAACCCUUGUGGAGGAGGACGUCGAAGGUGGGGCUGAUGACUGGGGUGAAGUCGUAACAAGGUAACC
rnacentral:rRNA from 1 species